UACGGGGGGGGCAAGCGUUGUUCGGAAUUACUGGGCGUAAAGGGCUCGUAGGCGGCCAACUAAGUCAGACGUGAAAUCCCUCGGCUUAACCGGGGAACUGCGUCUGAUACCGGAUGGCUUGAAUCCGGGAGAGGGAUGCGGAAUUCCAGGUGUAGCGGUGAAAUGCGUAGAUAUCUGGAGGAACACCGGUGGCGAAGGCGGCAUCCUGGACCGGCAUUGACGCUGAGGAGCGAAAGCCAGGGGAGCAAACGGG
rnacentral:rRNA from 1 species